ACUGUAGGAGGGAUGCAUGAAGUAUGAUUCUGAUUUAGCACUUACAUCAACCUUGUCAACUUUUGCUUCUAGAAAAAGAUAGUAAAGUUAUUAACAGGUAUCAUACCACCAAAGGUUUCAUGGUCAAAGAAGUUUGGGAAACACUGUUUGAAGCAAAGGUAUGAGUAAACAUCUAGCUUAGGCAAGAGAACUGACUCUUACAGUCUUAAUCAUAUUGAUUCUACUUUAUGGAUACUUCCAACGAGGAAAGCAAUCUGGGCAACAUGUUCGUGGGUAGGUAAUUUUUGUUUUCCUCACCUCAGAGUGAAUUCAAAUGCCUUUUCCCUUAGUUUCUUCUAUUUCUACUUAAGUAUUCUUGACCUUUUACUGUACCCUUUUAAACUAA